rnacentral:rRNA from 1 species
GAUGAACGCUGGCGGCGUGCUUAAUACAUGCAAGUCGAACGGAAAGGCGCUGCUCUUGCGGGGCGCUUGUGUGGCGAACGCGGGAGAAACACGCGAGUAACCCGCCCCUGACAUUGGGAUAUCUUCUGGAAAAACGGGCUAAUACCGCAUAGGAGCUCUUGCACCACGGGGGGGGUUGGAAAGUUUCGGUGUUUGUGGCUGUACUCGAGGCUUCCGCGCUUCUUGAGCGAGUUGGGAAUGUACAGGGUGACCACGGCAACGCGGCAUAGCCGACCUGAGAGGGUGAUCGGCCACACUGGAACUGAGACACGGUCCAGACUCCUACGGGAGGCAGCAGUAGGGAAUCUUCCGCAAAGGGCGAAAGCCUGACGGAGCAACGCCGCGUGAGUGAUGAAGGUCUUCGGAUCGUAAAACUCUGUUAUUAGGGAAGAACAGAUGUGUAAGUAACUGUGCACAUCUGGACGGUACCUAAUCAGAAAGCCACGGCUAACUACGUG